rnacentral:rRNA from 1 species
CGUGUAGGCGGAGAUGCAAGUUGGGAGUGAAAUCCCGGGGCUCAACCCCGGAACUGCUUUCAAAACUGCAUCCCUUGAGUAUCGGAGAGGCAAGCGGAAUUCCUAGUGUAGCGGUGAAAUGCGUAGAGAUCUGGAGGAAUACCGAUUGCGAAGGCAGCCCCCUGGACAGUGACUGACGCUCAUAUGCGAAAGCGUGGGGAUCAAACAGGAUUAGAUACCCCAGUA